UUGCAAUUUUACACACUUAUUUAGUGGCAUUAUGCAUAAAUAUGUGUAUAUAUAUAUAUAUGUAUAUAUAUUACUGAUGGCUUUCUCUUUUUGGCUACUUUAACUAUGGCCAUGUUCUAGAAAUCAUUCUCCCACUCUAUUAUGCAACACAAGUCUGUUGAACCUCCGUAUGGACUGUUUUACCACCUCAAGCUGCUUGCUGAACUUUCUUGACUUACACCUGCAUCCCUCAGUCCUCACCUUAGUGAAGAAAAGCUGCAUGGAUUUGUGAGUUUUUCUUUAAUGCUGUCAAAAAAAAAAAAAAAAAAAGACCAAGAUAUGAAAGUAAUCUGCUC